AAGGGAAGAGAUGUAAUAUUCGACGAAACGGUUUUUGUCUUCAACAAACCUGUAACUGAACAGAAAAAUACGACAUUUGAUGUUGGAGAGGAGACACAUCAACCACAGGAUGACACUGAACAGCCACAAGAUGAGCCACAGGAUGAUACUCAACAAUCAGAAGAACGACGUCGUUCUCAGAGAGCACGUGGACCCCCUGUUAGGUUUGGAGUAGACGAGUUUGCCAACACAACAGAAGCUGAUCAUAUGGCAUAUGUGAGUCAGAUCAAGGAACCAGACGCAAGAAAGAGAUUACCUGAUCCGAGCAGACGACCACCCGUUCCCAAGAGGGGUUGCAACAGAUGUGAGUCACCACAGAGUCCCUUUCCAUAUGUGCGAUGCAAGUAUGCUCAGAAGUCAAAGGGACGUCGUCCGCCAAUUUGCACGUUUGAGGACCACUAUCGAAACCAGUGUUUAAGAUUUGAGUACAAUCUACCGAUAGUGUUGAAACUAAUAGUAGAUUGUGAGACUAACGUCAUUGUAAUUACCUAAUUAGAUAGAUCUAGAACAUUCCAUGUAAGUAAUCUAUAGUAAUCUUAGUCAGUAAUUUUUGUAAACACAUGUGCUGUUCUAUCCUAAAAAAGAUACUUGAUUAAACGAAGUUGAUAUAAGGACCAGAUUUCAACAGUAGGGACAAGCUUGUUAGCAGAAAGGCUAUAGAAGCUCUCAUAAAGCAGCUCCAUACGACGUACAUUUACCGCUAUGCUAAAGCUUUCUGUUCGUGUCGUGAUACCUACUGGGUUGAGUCGUUCAACCAUCAACUCCUCACCUACCUGCCCAAGCGCAUUCACUUUUCGACUGAGACGUUCAUAAUGCGAAUGAAACAUGGAGUAUUACUAUGUGUACACUAUGAGCUUCUCGUACACUAAUUUGUAGUAGUAUUUAGAGCUUACAUUUACUUUACAUUUCAGUCUAUACUAUCGAUAAUUGCUUUAUUCUAGAAUGAGAACGUCAAUCGCUCUUACACCAGUGACCUUCGACGACCAGAUCGCCGCACAGCAAUGAAAGCCUUAGUGAAGAAAGGUUGUUGCUUUGCUAUGGGCAAUGUAUGUUGAACAAAACAAAGCUGAUAUGAGAGAAUUGAUCGAAAUCGAAAAAGAUGACGUAGUGGAGGAGCAGAAUGAUGACGUGACCUUAGAAGACGGAGUGAUGCCACCAGAAUAUUUGAGGAUGACAUGGACGACUAACAACAUGGACGACUAACAAUUAAUGAUGACAUGGCCGACUAACAAUUAAUGAGUUUUAUUUACUACGUAAUUGGUGUGUACAGGA